rnacentral:lncRNA from 1 species
AGGGGCAAAUAUUUGUUUCACUUGGCAAAACUUAAUGCUUUCCACAAUCUUGUUCAUCUCUUCAAAGUAUCCAUCAUGACUAACAAUAAGCAAAGUUUCACUGAUUCCUUCCACGCGAGAAAGGCUGUCGAUCACGAUUUGAAGAUACUGGGGCCGGUUAUGAACAUACAAAACAAUAACAACAUUACGCGAGAAAGGCUGUCGAUCACGAUCUGAAGAUACUGGGGUCGGUUAUGAACAUACAAAACAACAACAACAUGAUCCUUAGCUAAUUUUGGAUACAAAUUCAAGUUCCUUGGCGGCAUCUGAUUUCUCUUGCUCAAAAGAAUUGACAGCUCAUUUUGCAAGGGGAGUUUCGGAAUCCUAGUUAGAUGUGUAUUCGUAUCCUCAACUUCUUCAAUACUUUCAAAACUUUCACCACUCUCAUUAGUAUAACUGUUAAUCAAAUUAGAAACCGUAUUGGUCCUAAGAAGAAUUAACAGCAAAACUACUCCAAAUACAGUUAUCAGUGCUAAAGAUGCUAAACGCCUAAAAGCAGCAUCUUUUAUUCUUGCUUUUUUACAUGAAGCCAUAACUAAGUUACUAUAACAGCACUAUUUCUAUAAGACACCAACUCUAUCAAAAACAACAAAUGAGUCCAACUCGUUAAAUCUAAUAGUUAAUUACAAAAAAAAAAACUGACAUAAAAACAGUAGCUUGCAGAUCAAAAGGAGGAUCAAGAACCUGCAAUAUGGUCUUCAAAGUUGGAUUAUAAACUGAACUUCACCAAUUUCAGGUCAAAAUAACCAAAACCCUUCAAAAUAAGAACAUAAAACUACAAGGGUGUUGAAUUUUGACCAAUUCCAAAAGCAAAUAAUAAGAUAAAAAAUUGAUCAAAACAAUUUGAAAUUAAAACCCACUAAGGAAAGAUUCGAUUUAAGAUAAAAACAAUUUGAAAUUAGAACCCCACUAAGGAAAGAUUCGAACUUUUGAGUGGGGAGUAAGAAAAAUCGAAAUAUGGAGGCUCAGAUUUAUCAAAGUGUUGAAGAACAGUCAAAGGGUGUAGAGUGCAGUCCAGAAAUGACUAAAAAUUAUCAGUAGGAAAAGUCGUCAGGAGACAGAAGUAAAAGAAGUAGAUCUUUUGGGGGGGAAAUCUAGAAAUAACGAAAAAUUACAAUGACAUUAAUUUUUCAUGUGGAAAAUGGAAACUUCAACAAAAGUAGAAAGGGGUUAGGCGGUCACGUGCCCUGCGACUGGAAUAAAAUGAUGGGAUAAAUUGAAGCAUUCUUGAAGUUAACUAAAAGAUCACCUAAUUGAUCCAAAAGUGAUUGUUCU